rnacentral:rRNA from 1 species
AUACGGAGGGUGCAAGCGUUAUCCGGAAUCAUUGGAUUUAAAGGGUCCGCAGGCGGACUAAUAAGUCAGUGGUGAAAUCCUCUCGCUUAACGAGAGAACUGCCAUUGAAACUGUUAGUCUUGAAUUCGGUCGAAGUAGGCGGAAUGUGUCAUGUAGCGGUGAAAUGCAUAGAUAUGACACAGAACACCGAUAGCGAAGGCAGCUUACUAGACCUGGAUUGACGCUCAUGGACGAAAGCGUGGGGAGCGAACAGGAUUAGAAACCCCAGUAGUCC